AACGAACGCUGGCGGCAUGCCUAACACAUGCAAGUCGAACGAUUGCCUUCUGGUGAUAGUGGCUCACGGGUGCGUAACGCGUGGGAAUCUGCCCUUAGGUUCGGAAUAACAUCUGGAAACGGCUGCUAAUACCGGAUGAUAUCGCGAUAUCAAAGAUUUAUCGCCUGAGGAUGAGCGCGCGUUUGAUUAGGUAGUUGGUGGGGUAAAGGCCUACCAAGCCGACGAUACAUAGCUGGGCUGAGAGGAUGAUCAGCCACACUGGGACUGAGACACGGCCCAGAAUCCUACGGGAGGCAGGAGUGGGGAAUAUUGGAAAAUCGGGGCAAGGAUGAACCAGCAAUGCCGCGUGAGUGAUGAAGGCCCUAGGGUAGUAAAGCUCUUUUACCCGGGAAGAUAAUGACUGUACCGGGAGAAUAAGCCCCGGCUAACUCCGUG
rnacentral:rRNA from 1 species